GACAGAGGGUGCAAACGUUGCUCGGAAUUACUGGGCGUAAAGCGCGUGUAGGCGGGUUGGCAAGUCAGACGUGAAAUCCCUGGGCUCAACCCAGGAACUGCGCUUGAAACUGCCAGCCUUGAGUGACGGAGAGGAAAGCGGAAUUCCUGGUGUAGAGGUGAAAUUCGUAGAUAUCAGGAGGAACACCGGUGGCGAAGGCGGCUUUCUGGACGUCUACGUGACGCUGAGACGCGAAAGCGUGGGGAGCAAACAGGG
rnacentral:rRNA from 1 species